rnacentral:misc_RNA from 1 species
GAAUUGCGAAAAGUAGUGUGAAUUGCAGAAUUCCGUGAAUCAUUGAAUCUUUGAACGCACAUUGCGCUCUCUGGUCCACUGGGGAGCAUGGGUGUUUGAGGGUCACCAUACUGUCUCGCUCUGUAUGAGAGUGGGGAGAUGGGUCGUCCGUGGGCGCGCCGGUAGCAGUUGGCUAUAGGUGGUCCGUGGCGACCUGAAAUACAGCGCACCCGCUUUGCCGCGGCCAACUCGCGUCUUGGUUCUCCUCGGAGAUUGCGACGCAAAGAGUGGGCAGAUGGCGAGCGGGGGCGACUCUGGGGGGCACUGGGGCGCGGACCGGGACACGUCCCGACGCGUCCUGUGCACCCCACACGCGCACCGGCGACCGCUGGCCGCCAGUGCGCUCACUGACCUCAAAUCA